AGCAAAGAGUAAAAAAAAAGUCUGUAUCCCUCAAUUUUACCGAACACUCUCCUCCCUCCUCACGGAGCACCGCCGUGCUCAGCUUCUCUCUCCGCGCUGCCGCCGUCCUUGCCCUCCUCCAACGCGCCACCACCGCCUUCCCUGCCAGCGACGCCCUCGCCCUCCUCCAGCGUGCGUCGCCGACCUCGCCGCUGUCAUCGCCCUCCUCCAGUGCGCCACCGUCGCCUUCCCUGCCAGCGCCGCCCUCGCCCUCCUCCAGCGCGCAGCGCCGACCUCGCCGCCCUCCUCCCAGCGCACCAAAUCCGAGGAAGCUGCCUUCAAAGGAGCAUGUUGUUCCCAGUAAUUUCUUCAUUGAUCUCCUCCUUGGCCAGGUUCUAACACUUUUCUCCAGUUAGUGAUCAGAGCUGACAAAACACUAAUUCCAUCAAGUGUUGGCAUGUCCAUACCUCUUGCUCCAGUGUUUCAAAAUCCAAGGCCAUGCUGGCAUAAGAGAGCCGGGCGGCAGCGACCCAUGUCUGGUUCUAGGCUAUGGAUACGCCACACAUGCAACCUACGGUUCACAUCUGUGCGUCGUCUUCUCGGCAAAUGAUUGGCACAUAAGUCAAUGUUUUUGGUCGUGUGCAUCGACCGAUGCAGAGGCCAAGAGUUCAUCCUGAUUUCCGAAAAAAAGUCAAUGUAUUUUUCUUCUUAACCACUGAACUUUGUAAUGUGAUCUCCAUUUAGUUUGAUGUGUAGCAGUUGAUUUUGUGAAGAUGAAGCUGUCGCUGUGAGUUUGAGUUGUUGCUUAGAUGAAUUUGAUUUGAAGUUUGGAGACGAGAAUCGUGUAGCAUUUCUUGAAUGUCAAAACUAUUUGAUGAUAAUAUGAAGUUUUACUUGCCAUUUCCCUGCA